GGGGAUGUAGCUCAGUGGCAGAGUGCAUACUUUGCAUGUAUGAGUUACCUGGGUGAAAACUCCAGUAUCUCCA
rnacentral:tRNA from 2 species